CAAACACCUCGGUAGGUGAGGCGUCUGCAUGGACACAGGCCACUGACCCCGAACGUCGAGAGACGCCCCGGGUCAGGACAGCUCUUCCCGGCCUAAGGGUUGAGCCCAAGUGGCUUCCGGAUGAAACACCGGAUACGCCGUGCAGUGCCAAAGCUCCGACGAGAGGGGUGUUCG
rfam:Mycobacterium angelicum strain DSM 45057 NODE_18_length_82039_cov_20.9631_ID_26359, whole genome shotgun sequence.